GAUGGAGGCGGGCAGGUCUCCAGCUAUGGUGGACAAAAGAAAAAAAAGUUGAUUUCAAAGAAAAGAGAAUUGCCAAGAGCAAUCAUUAAGAAGCCAUGGAGCCAAGAAGAGAGAACUGCAGUCACACAAAAGAUGGCCGGCUUUAUUGGACUUAGAAGGGUACCAGGAAAAACUGACUGCAGCAUUUGCAUCGAGGAGUCUCCUGAACUAAAAAACAGGUCAUGGAAAGAUAUAAGAUACUUCGUCUACAAUGAAAUCAUUAAAGUGAAAAA